CUUAGGCACACUUAACACACACACUUACCGGCACAGGCUUUCUGGGUGCUGCUUCGGCAGUGGGAAGAUGGGGUAGGUGGAGGUUAAAC
rnacentral:sRNA from 1 species